GACAGGAUUCAGUGCUCUCAGGGCGUCUCCACCAUGGUUUGGGCUCCGCUCCUCCUCACCCUCCUCACUCACAGCUCAGGGUCCUGGGCCCAGUCUGCCCUCACUCAGCCUCCCUCAGUGUCUGGGACUCUGGGACAGACUGUCACCAUCUCCUGCUCUGGAAGCAGCAGCGACAUUGGGGGUUAUAACUAUGUCUCCUGGUACCAACAACACCCGGACACAGCCCCCAAACUCCUGAUUUAUAGUGUCAGUAGUCGGCCCUCAGGGAUCCCUGCCCGAUUCUCUGGCUCCAAGUCCGGCAGCACGGCCUCCCUGACCAUCUCCGGGCUCCAGGCUGAGGACGAGGCAGAUUAUUACUGUUGCUCA